rnacentral:rRNA from 1 species
UACGUAGGCAGCAAGCGUUGUUCGGAGUUACUGGGCGUAAAGAGUGCGUAGGCGGUGUCGAAAGUUUGGCGUGAAAUCUCCCGGCUUAACUGGGAGGGUGCGCCGAAAACUGCGGUGCUGGAGUGUGGGAAAGGCAAGCGGAAUUCCUGGUGUAGCGGUGAAAUGCGUAGAUAUCUGGAGGAACACCGGUGGCGAAGGCGGCAUCCUGGACCGGCAUUGACGCUGAGGCGCGAAAGCCAGGGGAGCAAACGGG